UACAGAGGGUGCGAGCGUUAAUCGGAAUUACUGGGCGUAAAGGGUGCGUAGGUGGUUACGUAAGUUAGGUGUGAAAGUCCUGGGCUUAACCUGGGGAUUGCGCCUGAUACUGUGUAGCUAGAGUCCUGUAGAGGAAAGUGGAAUUCCAGGUGUAGCGGUGAAAUGCGUAGAUAUCUGGAGGAACACCGGUGGCGAAGGCGGCAUCCUGGACCAACACUGACGCUGAGGAGCGAAAGCCAGGGGAGCAAACGGG
rnacentral:rRNA from 1 species